rnacentral:lncRNA from 1 species
AUGGCCUCCAGGCUGACCCCGACCUCUGACACUUUGGCUGAACUUCUUCAGGAACCACUGGGCUGGCAGAGGCCGGUGUUGGGGCUGGCAGAGGCCGGUGUUGGGGCUGGCAGAGGCCAGUGUUGGGGAUGGCCUGUGUUGGGGCCUGCAGGGGCUGGCAGAGGCCGGUGUUGGGGCCUGCAGGGGCUGGCAGAGGCUAGUGUUGGGACCAGCAGAGGCCGGUGUUGGGGCCGGCAGAGGCCGGUGUUGGGACCAGCAGAGGCCGGUGUUGGGGCCGGCAGAGGCCGGAGUUGGGGCCGGCAGAGGCCGGUGUUGGGGCCAGCAGAGGCCGGUGUUGGGGCCGGCAGAGGCCGGUGUUGGGACCAGCAGAGGCCGGGGCCGCACAAGCUAGCGCUGGAGGCCAGCCUUCUGAGGCUGGAGAGUGGGAGGGAAUCACCAGGAUCAGUCAUGGCACACACAGACAGACGGGAGACAGUGAGGGAUCGAGGAAGGCUCGGGGCCCUGCCCGGGGUGUCAGGAGCCUGACAGGGUGCCACCAGGCCGGGAAUGGGUGGCCUUUGGGGCCCAGACCUUCUGCCUCUCCACUCUGGAGCUGGCCUGGGUCAGGGGAUGAGCCCCGCUCCCACCCCCGCCCAGGGGUCUUCUAGGGAGAUGACGGCACCCACGGGAAGGAAGAGGACACCCAUCAAGUCCCAGGACUGCCUUUUCCAUGAACACAAGGGAGCAGGACAGGACAAGGCCCCCCCUCUCCUCCUCCUCCCCUCCCCCCUCCCCCCUCCCCCCCAAUUAAAGCCCGCCCCAGGGCGGAGGCAUUUCCAAGGGCGCCGCGUGUUCGAAGUGGCUACUUUGUUUUCACGGCUGACGUAAAGGGAUUCCUCACAGUUUCGAACGAAGCACGCGCGCACACGCGCACGCACACGCGCGGAGCCUCGUCUGGUGUGCCGGGGGAGGACGGGAGGGUCGAGUCCCAGCGGCGGCGCAAACAGUGCACGAGAGGGCUAAGAGGACAGACAGGGAUUGCACAUAGAUCCGUGGGCGCGGGCAGCGCCUGCGGGACUGGUAACACUGAGGGGGCGCUGGGGGGGCCGGGCCGGCGGGCCUCCCC